GUGGAAGCUUGUUGGGUCCGCGCUUCAGAAAUGAGGACGGAAUUAACCCUAACCCGAGGCAGUUGUAUUUACAACAUAUCGAGGUAAACUUCAAUUGCACUUUGAGCGUUUGUUUGACUGCCUUUAAACGCUCAUGAAGUUUGCUGUCUUUGUUAAGGCAGUCUUUCUAUCUUGCUUCUACGACCAGCAGCUGCAUCUUUGUUACCUGCUGCGGAUAUGGCACUGAGCUCUUGCCUGGGUUUCUGGUGAAGAACCUUAGCCGUGGACUGUUACACAUGCUUAGGUUAAGAGUGCGACUCUGUCUCUGCUCCAGAAGCCUUCAGUCGAGAUAUAUAGUUCAUGGUCAUUUUCUGCAUAAGGUUAGAUUAAAUGGAGUGAGCAAUGUGUGGCUUCUCUCGAGUCUUGAGCUGUCGCUUUCAUACUCCAUACAUCU
rnacentral:telomerase_RNA from 1 species